rnacentral:rRNA from 1 species
GCCGCAGUAUUUUGACUGUGCAAAGGUAGCAUAAUCAUUAGUUUUUUAAUUGAAAGCUGGUAUGAAUGGUCGGAUGAGAAAGUUUCUGUCUCACUUUAAAUUUAAUUGAAUUUAAUUUUUAAGUAAAAAGGCUUAAAUUUAAUAGGAAGACGAGAAGACCCUAUAGAGUUUAAUAUGUUUAAACUUUAAGUAUUUUAGGUUUAAAAUUUAUUUAUAGUUUAGCUUAUUUUGUUGGGGUGACAUAAGAAUUGAAACAACUUCUUUAUUAUUAAACAUUGAUUAGUGAUUACUUGAUCCUGAAUUUUGGAUUAAAAGAAUAAAUUACCUUAGGGAUAACAGCGUAAUUCUUUUGGAGAGUUCUAAUCGAUAAAAGGGAUUGCGACCUCGAUGUUGGAUUAAAGUUAAAUUUUGGUGCAGAAGCUAAUAUUUUG